UACGAAGGGGGCUAGCGUUGUUCGGAUUUACUGGGUUUAAAGGGUGUGUAGGCGGACUUUUAAGUCAGCGGUGAAAUCUCCGGGCUCAACCCGGAAACUGCCAUUGAUACUAUUAGUCUUGAAUAUUGUUGAGGUAGGCGGAACGGGUCAUGUAGCGGUGAAAUGCAUAGAUAUGACCCGGAACACCGAUUGCGAAGGCAGCCUACUAAGCAAUUAUUGACGCUGAGGCACGAAAGCGUGGGGAUCAAACAGG
rnacentral:rRNA from 1 species